rnacentral:rRNA from 1 species
CCUACGGGAGGCAGCAGUAGGGAAUCUUUCACAAUGGGCGAAAGCCUGAAGGAGCAACGCCGCGUGCAGGAUGAAGGCCUUCGGGUUGUAAACUGCUUUUAUAAGCGAGAAAUAUGAUGGUAACUUAUGAAUAAGGAUCGGCUAACUACGUGCCAGCAGCCGCGGUCAUACGUAGGAUCCGAGCAUUAUCCGGAGUGACUGGGUGUAAAGAGUUGCGUAGGUGGCAUAAUAAGUAGCUAGUGAAAUCUGGUGGCUCAACCAUUCAGACUAUUAGCUAAACUGUUAAGCUCGAGACCGUUAGGGGUAACUGGAAUUUCUAGUGUAGGAGUGAAAUCCGUAGAUAUUAGAAGGAACACCAAUAGCGUAGGCAGGUUGCUGGGACGGUUCUGACACUAAGGCAUGAAAGCGUAGGGAGCAAACGGGAUUAGAUACCCCAGUAGUC